rnacentral:rRNA from 1 species
AGAGUUUGAUCCUGGCUCAGAACGAACGCUGGCGGCAUGCCUAACACAUGCAAGUCGAACGGUGCCUUCGGGCACAGUGGCGCACGGGUGAGUAACACGUGGGAACCUGCCUUUCGGUUCGGAAUAACGUUUGGAAACGAACGCUAACACCGGAUACGUCCCCCAUUCGCGAGUUUGGGGGAGAAAGUUUACGCCGAGAGAGGGGCCCGCGUCCGAUUAGGUAGUUGGUGGGGUAACGGCCCACCAAGCCGACGAUCGGUAGCUGGUCUGAGAGGAUGAUCAGCCACACUGGGACUGAGACACGGCCCAGACUCCUACGGGAGGCAGCAGUGGGGAAUAUUGGACAAUGGGCGCAAGCCUGAUCCAGCAAUGCCGCGUGAGUGAUGAAGGCCUUAGGGUUGUAAAGCUCUUUCGCACGCGACGAUGAUGACGGUAGCGUGAGAAGAAGCCCCGGCUAACUUCGUGCCAGCAGCCGCGGUAAUACGAAGGGGGCUAGCGUUGUUCGGAAUUACUGGGCGUAAAGGGCGCGUAAGCGGNCUUGUUAGUCAGAAGUGAAAG